UAAAGAAGCGUUGACAAUAUAAGAAAAGUUGAAAAAAUAUCAAAUGAUUUCAAAAGCUAAUUGAAUUUUUUAGUCUAUCAUACAUCGGAAAAAAAGGAAUAAGAACAAUCUUUUACAUACAAUGAAAAAACUCUAGUUUCAUAUUUUUCUCUUCCUUUCUAAAAGCUCAUAAGUGAGCCAAGACUAUUAUAUUAGAAAAACCCAUAUAAUAAAGUAAUAUAUUACCAAAAGUACUUUAUUAAUCUAAUUAAAUUGAUUUAAAAGCCCUAAUUUAUAUCCCUAAUGGUAAUUUCAUCUAAAAUUAUCAAUUUUGAUCCUAAUUUAUUGCAAUUGAUAUGUUUCUUAAUUUUUGCCCACAGAUAUUAACGUGAAGCAGUGUAUCUAUUCCAAGUGAACAUUUUGCAUUGUAACCAUGAAAAACCUUCCUCCUUCCGUCAUUUAAUUUGGCAUGCUUAUCUAUUUCUUAUUAAAGCCACAAGAGAACCACAAAUAUUCAAACUUUGAGAACCCUAAAGUUUCAUCUUCCUCUCCGCCUCAACAACACUAUUUGCUUCCAUCACCCUCAAUUCAAAACACAAACAAGCUUCUUCUUCUUUGUAAGAUUCAUCGCCCCAUCAAGAGUUCUCUUCAACUUUCUCUUUCAAAUGUAUUUCACAAAUAAUGAGAUUCGAUUGAUAGAAUUUUUUCUCUAUGUCACUGAUCGAGGGUUAUCUGAGUCGUUCUUCAACAAGGUUUCAGCGUAGUUCUUCACCAAGGCUUGGCUAUUCUGUUUUUGCGCCGAUUUAUUUGAUUGAAGGUUUUUGGUAGGGUUCUUCUUCACCAUUUAGGACUUUGUUGUUAAGGUCGAACCAAUUUUUGAGAAAGGGGUUGAUUAACAAAAUCUACAGAUGAAGCAAGGAUCUUAUUGGUUUGUUGCACAAAUUGUGUUAGGUUUUGGCUAUUUGGUUUUGUACUAAAUCUUUUUUCUGGGAUUGGUACAAAUGACAUUGCUUUGUAGGGUUGUAUUUUAGUUGCUUUUGUUGAGAAAUUCAGUACUUUCAAACAGACAA